rnacentral:tRNA from 1 species
UGGGGUGUGGCUCAGUGGUAGAGCACCUGCCUAACAUUUAGGAGUCCCUGGGUUACAUCCCCAGCAACACAC